rnacentral:misc_RNA from 1 species
AACUUUUGGCAAUGGAUCUCUUGGCUCUCGCAUCGAUGAAGAACCCAGCGAAAUGCGAUAGGUAAGGUGAAUUGCAGAAUUCAGUGAAUCAUCGAAUCUUUGAACGCACCUUGCGCCCUUUGGCUAUUCUGAAGGGCAUGCCUGUUUGAGCAUCAUAACCAUCUCAACUCUCACGGUUUCCUGGGUUGGGAUUGGACUUUGGGGGUCUUGUUGGCUUGUGUUCAGCUCCCCUCAAAUCUAUCAGCUUCCCAGUGUUUGGCAGCAUCACAGGUGUGAUAAAUAUCUACGCUUGUGGUUCUUUGCCAGGUCUGUCCUCUCCUUGCAGAGGGCUCGCUGGAGCUCAUAGAUGUCUCUCCUUGGUGGAGACAGCUGUUUGAAGUUUGGUCUCAAAUCAGGUAGGAUUACCCGCUGAACUUAAGCAUAUCAAUAAGCGGAGGCU